AUUGAACGCUGGCGGCAUGCCUUACACAUGCAAGUCGAACGGCAGCACGGGUGCUUGCACCUGGUGGCGAGUGGCGAACGGGUGAGUAAUACAUCGGAACAUGUCCUGUAGUGGGGGAUAGCCCGGCGAAAGCCGGAUUAAUACCGCAUACGAUCUACGGAUGAAAGCGGGGGCCCUUCGGGCCUCGCGCUAUCGGGUUGGCCGAUGGCUGAUUAGCUAGUUGGUGGGGUAAAGGCCUACCAAGGCGACGAUCAGUAGCUGGUCUGAGAGGACGACCAGCCACACUGGGACUGAGACACGGCCCAGACUCCUACGGGAGGCAGCAGUGGGGAAUUUUGGACAAUGGGCGAAAGCCUGAUCCAGCAAUGCCGCGUGUGUGAAGAAGGCCUUCGGGUUGUAAAGCACUUUUGUCCGGAAAGAAAUCCUUGGCCCUAAUACGGUCGGGGGAUGACGGUACCGGAAGAAUAAGCACCGGCUAACUACGUG
rnacentral:rRNA from 1 species